GCCCUCGUGGCGGAACUGGCAUACGCGCAGCGCUUAGGACGCUGUUCCCGCAAGGGAUUAGAGGUUCAAAUCCUCUCGAGGGCA
rnacentral:tRNA from 1 species